rnacentral:lncRNA from 1 species
CCGGUACUCCAGCUUAGCUCAUCCUUUUGUGCUCUCCAUCCCUUGCGUUGAAUCCAUGAGGAUGCAUGAGGGUAGAACUUCAGAUCCCCCCCCAUCCCCCCAACCAGCUGGGACCAGCAGCUAAAGACAUUCAGCAUUUCUCACAGUCCACAGCGUAGCUUUUGAGCUGGCUGGUAAUUGGAAACACUGUGCACUCCACUGCUCGGUCUCGCAGGCUCCCUGGCCAGCUGUGGGCUGCUCACCACCACCGCUGAGCCCGCAGUGCAGGGACGAGCUGCAGCGCCUGGUGAGGAUGGGCUGUGGUUGCGGGAGGCCAUCAGGUCGGCUUGCGUGUCUUUUUCCAGGAAGUCGAGUGCAUACUCCCUGCUUCUUCUUUUUUUUUUUUUCAUGAUCUUCAAGAGUUCAGCUCAAAGCAGCUGCAGAAAAAAAGCAUCCUGCUGCAGAAGAGCCAAUGGCCCUGGGAACAGACUGCUUUUAUAAAAAGCCUUACGAGAGCCAGAUGCCCCCUACCCUGACAAAGACUGAUCAGGUGGCUGCUGGUAUCGCCUUUCACUGCUCUUUGGCAAGGGUGGAAACACAGAAUGAUGGCAGUCCCCCAGCACUUCCCCACCCGAGCGGCCGCAGCAGGUGAUCCGCGGAGGAAGAGGAGGAUGAAGCCCGGCGUGCGAGCCAGCCCCGCCGGCUGCCGAGUGCCACCAGAGGGUGCUGCGCCGUACCGCCGGCCGGCAGGGACGGAUGGGAACGGGAGGGAUGCGAGAGGGACGCGGGAGGCUGCGGCCCCAGCCAGCUCCCUGCCUGCCAGCUCCUGCUGUGGUUGCCAGGCUGCUCGGUUUGGUUGCCCCGCAGCUAGCUAGUUCCGUCUGAUGGACCUCAGCUCCCUCUGGAGAAAACAAACGUUUGUGGCCGUGUUGAUGUGCAAGGAGGAAAACAUCGACACCGCAGAUAACGUGGUUGGUACGUCUCGAGACAGCGUAUGUAGAAGACAGCAUUUAAAAGGGUUGGUUUAUUAACUUGGCGCUCCCGUGCCGUAACCAGCCGCCCUUUAGGGAGACAGAAUUAGCCUCUCUUUAGCAGAAGGCAUCACAUCCCUCUGCUUAUGUCCCGUGCCGCUGCUCCCCCCAGCAGCCGCACUCCUCGGUGCCUGCUGUCCCACACGUCCGGGGCUGCUGUACAGAGCGCUCCUUAUACAGACGUCUCUUGGCAUGGAGGCUCUCCCCGGGAGCACGACUGUAGGUUGAAAUUCUGCCUUCUUGGAAUAAGCAAAUGCCAGGGGUUUAUUUCCUAUUAAGCUAGCAGAUAGUUUGUGCAUUUAGCCGCAGUUUGCUGUCUCCAACCAGAUACGGGUGGAUCCUUCUUGUUUUCCUUCCUCUUUAUAUUUCCAGCCUGGGAAACAGCAAAAAGUUUGUGCAAAAGCAACAUCUGUGGGAGAGAGAGAGAGAAAAGGAUGAGGCAGGCUGGCCCGGCAGCCAGCCUCAGGAGAUGGUAAGACAGAAGAGCUAUUCAUUGUGAGAGGCAGUUGCUCCUCACCCUGCUAGACUAUAAAUUGGACACCUUAUUAAGAGCUGAUCCUCCAACAGCCCCACCCCGGGCUGUGCUCACGCUCCGGACUAGAGGAACGCAAUCCCGUUUCGCUCUGGGUGCCCGCUGUGGGGUGAGCACAUGUGUGAGCAGGACAGAGGACACGAGGCAGAAGGAAGCAGCACACUUUUUGAUUUGUGGGUCGUCAGCUUAGGAAAACAAGGCAAACUUUUGGGAGGCAGCAGGGAGGAGGUUGGAUGGCAGCGAAGUUUGGGCUCUCACCCUAUGAUGCGCUGGUUGCCUUAGCAAAUAAUGGAAGCAGUAUUACAUUUUUUUCCUUUUUUUUUUAAACUUGUUUUCUCAGUUGUAACUUAAAAAUGCUGACUCACUGGCACUGUGUGCCAACACAAAUGUUGCUGCGGAAAUCAAUCAUCAUGAGAGCCUGGCGAGAUAUAACCCCACAGUGGCGCAGGCUUUGAAUGGGCCUCUUUGGUCAUUCCAAGUUUCUUCUUCAGACAAUUCGCCCGGAAACUUCCUUCUUGUCAGGUGAGCCCAAAGGUCUGAGCAGACUCACGCAGAUGUCACGUUGAAUGGUUGCUGUGGUGAAAAAUUCACAGGAAUGUGAGGUUAACAAAUUCAUCAGUUGUAUCAUCCUUGGCAAGACUUCUGAGCUUUCCAGCCUUUGCGCACCUUUAACCAUUUGAAAGGUUCUUGGGCUUGCAUUUGAAGUGCACAAGCUAUUGCCAGCUGCUGUCAGAAAUAAACAUCUUUAUGUAUUCUUCGGAGCUUGUUUUUGUGCUGAAGAAAGCAGGAUGGAUCACAGGCCUUUUGUACUGUUCUGAACAUUAUUCCUGCUCAGACGUUCAUGUUUUUCCUUCCACGUGAAACCGAUUGGAGGAGUCAUGCAACACUAGAUGUGUUGGGAGGAGUCUGCAUUUUCAGAGCAUCUGCUCGUUGAUUUCUCUGCUGAGGUUCCUCUGUUUUAUUUUCCUUGGCAGGCCAUUUAAACAUAGUUAGAUAUAUUGCAACUGAGCGGUGGUCAGGUAAUUCAAAGUAACAUGGAAAUGUGACCUUCAUACAUGCCUCCCCGCUUCUCGGGUAGCACUAAGAUACAGGUGCAUUUCAAUAGCAUCUCCUAGAAUUGCUGACUUCAGUUGCAUCUCAUAUAAUUGAAAAACAGCCUUUGUAUUUCCUUUAGGAGGAAAUACAUUUUUUUUCAGAUCUGAAAAAUCUAGGAUAUUGCUGUGGCUCAUUUGAAAAUGGCCGCGUGAUUCUCUAGGUUGUGAUUGCCUGACUGUCGCUGGUGUAUUGGAAGGCAUUGGCUGACAAGAUGUUCCUGGAUACCUUAAUUUGUGUGCCUCAGAUGACUUUACAUGCUUAUAAAAAUGAGCACAAAGCAUCUUCAGCGUUUCUCUCACUUUUCUUCUCCUACAUUCUACUUGAGGGACUUCUUAGUUUUGCCAAUGAUUUUGUUUCCCAAUAAAACAGCGUGUCUGAAUUCAUGCUCUGUGUAUAAGUCCGUGUAUGUGAUUCCACUGUGCCCUAACCUCUCCAAAAGUGUGGGCCUGCUGGUUGGUUUUGGCUGAAUUUGGCAAAAUAAUUGAGAUUUCAAACUGAAGUUCCAAAAUGUUUUAAAAAGAAGGGCUAGGUAGGCACAGGAGAGGGCUUUUUUUGUGCUAGAGACAUCCUGGUGCUGUCAGCUCAGAUCACCUUUUACCACGUACCAGUGAAGCUGCCAUGGAAUGGGCCCUUGGAAAUCAGUCUUCAACACAUCUGUCAGAUGUGGAUUAGUUGUUAGUACUGGUUGUUUUGGUACAGUUAGAAUAGAGGAGGGGAGGCUGGGUUGAAAACCCGGAGUUUUCUCUUUUGUUCUAGACUUUUGAGAUUUAUGGUUUUUCCCUGCAAGUAGUCCGGAUUUUGCAGUUGUGACCUAAGCACUAGAGAAUCUGUCCCUAGCGCACCUAUCCUUCAAACUGGGUAUUUAUUGUGUCACAGGGCAGUAUGACUGCCAGAUUUCAACAUAGCUGUGGCUGUCUUUGCACCAAUUUUUGCUAAGGUGUUGAAAGCUUUGAAAAUAAGGCCUUUGGGACUAAGCGGUGAGCGGAGCAAAGAUCAGAGUUUGAACUUGCUUGGAGGUCUUGUGUUGCUGAAUAAACGGACCGACAUUUUUGUAUGGGGCAUCAUUUCUAAACCCAUCGUGUCUGUAGAAAUCAAGCAUAAGGAGCAAGUUCAAUCUAGUAGGUCGUCUGAUCAGAAAUAGCUGUGAAGAACAGAGGUAUUUGCAGCAACAGCUCUUGGGAUUUCUAGAAGGAAUGAGUUCGGAUAAAUAUUAAAUCUCCAUUUUGUCUUAAUGCCAGUGAUGGAGAAUGAAUGACAUUAUGGAAAUGUGAAAUGCUUUCCUCUACCAUCUUGAGCCCAGGCUCUUGCAACAAUUCAGCUUCUGCCAACUUCUCUUCAUUCAUUUGCUGAUCUCAGCCAAGCCCUUGUAGAGCUGGGUAACGGUGUUAUUUGCAUGGGAGGUGAAGAUGAUGUAGAGAUGGGUGUCAUAUGUGUACUGCUGACAAGUCAGUCCAUGGUGCCACUGAAUAUUCUCUACAGGCUUUAUAUAGAUAUUGAACAGGCUGGGUGAGGGGAAAGAAUUUCAUGUUAUUCAGCAGGUGGGAAAGGUUUUGGAGGUUAAGGAAAGAGCAAGUGUUUAUCAUAAAUCUCUUGAGCUUACUGGAGAUUGAUGUAAGGGAUGUCUGAAGAUGUAUCAGCUCAGUUCCAAAGGGCUCUGGACAGACAUUUAUUUUCAAACAGCUGAGCUGGCUGGAGAUCUUACAGCCAUUCCAGAUGCUUGCUACCAACCCUCUGCUGAUGGUUGCCAUACCUGUUGCUCUGCUGUUAGAAAAGGUAGUCUAAAGUCUUCCUGAUCUGUUCGGUGAAGUCACUCAGAUAGCUGAAAGUGCUGAUAAAGGUGGUGUUAUUUAACACAGCUGAAAUUGCAUUACCUUUAAAAGAGAGAACGUUCACUUUACUGUGAGUUUUGGAAAGGAGAGAAAGGAGAAAAGAAGGCCUCAGCCUAUCCUGCAGAGCAUUCCCACAGCCCCAGGCAGCUCUUGCAUUGCCUCCUGCAGGCCUGAAGAUGGGCAAGGCAUGUGUGUGGGGCUGGGUACAUCUUCUGGAACAGGCAAUGUAGCUGCUGUUUGGGGUUUGCUUUUAUGAGUGAACAUGUGCUCGGAUAUUUUGUAUAGAUCUUGUGCUUAAAAUAUAUGCAAAGUGCUUGUUUCUUACAUGAGUGACUGAAAUGAUGUAUGUGGAGAUGUGUCAGCCUCCUACGGGGUCAGGUAACCUCAUGUGGCCAAAGCUCAGGUAACCAAGAGUUUGUUAUUAUCCAAGUUUUCUACCAGAGCUCAUAUAAGAAAUUGUUAUUAAUUAGUAUAUUAACACCACUAUGGUUAAAGCUGAACCAGCAAGUUACAAUAAAAUGCUUAAGUUGGGGCAAAGAAGAAAGCUCAUGCACUCGGGUGUUCAUUCAGGAAUGGGAGGAAUGGGAAGAACUGGGAUGAAAGCCUGUGGGUGUUUUUAAGAGAUCCUGGAAUUCUUGCAGGUUUUCCAGAUCCAAAACCACAGAACUGCUGGAGAUUCCUUGACGUGUACACGGGCAAAACAGAGCAAGCAAGAGUACUGGUCAUCCUUGCUGGCCAUUCUGUUUCUGAACUGGGCCAGAAUGAAGCAUCCUACCCUAACAACAGUCCAAAACUCUGCUGGAAUUUGGACUAGCAUCCAAACUCAAGGCACAGGCUCUUCUCUAAAUAAAAAUAACUCAAUCACAAGCUAUUUUGGGGUGGUGACUUUCAGACAAGAAAUGUAGGGCUUACACAGGUUUUUACUUCUGUCAAAUACAUCUGGAUGCUGUACUCCUUCCUGCCGAUACUCUGAACUUGCUCUCUUCAGCUCAGAGCCAAAGAACUCCAACUGAAAGCUAGAAAUGGUAGAACAACUGAUGUUACUCAAGGUAAACAGCAGGGUUUUUUUGGUGGUUUAUUUAUUCCACAGAGGAUAUUCUGCUACUCUGGUUGCUGCUGAUGCUGAUAAAAUUUCUGUCAUGGCCUGUGAUGAACAGCAUGCAACGUUGGUUCAAGAUAAGAGCCAAAAGCGUGUCAAAGAGUCUUCUCCAAAUAGGAAUCCCCAUAGAUCUGGCUUUUUUGACAGGGUGGUAGUUAACGAAACUGCCACACCUGGCACCAUUGACAUUGCUGCCAAAACUGUCCGUCACCAUCCUCUCCCCUUCCCACAGCACCCAGUAACAAAUCUGUUUUUUCCUGUUUGCUUGGAUAUACCUGGUAUUACGAUAGGAACAGUUCCCGUUCAUGAAGAAUGAGGUGGGAUACAGCGAGUUGUAAGGGACAGGAAGCAAAGGAGGAAGCGGUGUGCUGGGCUAUUGUUGUUAAUGGCACUAAGCAGCAAGUGCUAAAGCAUGUUUUACAUCAGUGCGAGCACUGCUGUGUAUGAUGUCCUACUGGGAGUGCCUGCACUGUGUGCAGCAGAUGGGCAGCAGGAGAGUUUCACUGCUGGGUUCUGAGGUAAGAGUGUUUCCUACCUCAGGAGCUCCAAGCAGUCUAUGAACUUCAGUUGAUUUAAAGCUUUGGACCUUCUAAAUAAUUAUCCAGUUGUAUCCCAGAGCAAGGCAUAUUUGCUGAAGAUGUCACAGGAAGUUUUCAGCUGUGCCAAGUGUAUAAACUAGAUCUUCUGACUCAUAGAUCUAGGGUUUAAUUGAAGGAGUUUUCUUCCUCUUUACAUAGCUACCCUGCCUUCUCUUUGAUAUUAUCCCACCCUCCCCUAAUCACUGGGUGACAUCUGAUCCCUAUGACUCUUCUAUAACCUUCAAGGUCUAUUGUAUUGGGUCCAAGAUCUUGUGUUUUAUUUCUGGCUGUUCUAAUUUUGAGUCCAUCCCUGCAAUUCCAGGGGGCUCACCCCUAAACUGGCUGCAAGCCCUUGGGAAGCAGGGUGCCCCUUGGUGGUACAUCUCACUGUGGAGCAGAGAUUUCCCUGAACCAGUCACUGUCCUCCACUAAACCCUGGUGCAGAGGAUGGCUAUUGCCUCCCACGUGCUUCCUGCAAUUUCUGCUUAAGUAUAGUAUUCUUUGCUGUCUCUCUGCAGUUGGAAUGUAAAGCUGCUUUCUGUAGAUUUAAAGUUGCUUCCUCCUCUGAAGUGGCUUUAUUUUAGUGCUCAGCUCAGUGAUUCCUACACAGUACUUAACCCAGCAGGUAUCUGAAGUCCAAAUACUUUAUUUAGAUCUAAGUUAACGCAUAACAUUGCUUCUAUCAAUAUCAUUAGAUUUUCUUGUGUCUUUAAACUCAGUGUUCUUGAGUCACUUUCUCUUUUUUCCCUCUCGUCAAAGGAUUUCCAAUUUGCAGUUUGGGCUACGGAUGUAAAGGACCAAAUCCUGCACUAGUUUAAGUCUGUAAGAGCCAUGGAACUACGUCCAUGCACGUGAGAACACAGGAUGCUGAAAUCAUUCCGCCAUUUUGAAAAGCACACGGUCUAGAGGACUGAUGCUGAGAGAUGUCGUUUAGGAUUAUCUAAUUCCUGAACCUGUAAAUCCUGAUGUAAAUAUAGCUUUUCCCCUGGCUAUACACUUUUAGUGGUGAAGAGAUUCUUUAAAAAAAUAAUAAUAAAAAAUUAGAUGUUAGAUGCUGUGCAUCCAGAGCCCCUUACUGGAGUUAUAACACCUUCUUAACAGCAUUGUACACAAUACACCAGUUUUCCCAUCCUAUCUAGUAUCAGAGGCUUAUCUCUACCAGCAGAGUUCAUGGAUUGAGACUGGUAUUAAAAUAACGUUUAACAUUUGCACAGAUGAUGAAAAUUCAGUUUCAAGUUGGGUUUUGUAGUUUUGUAGAUUUUUACUCUUCAGGAUUUGCACUGUCAUGUUUCAAAAUGUGCCCCUGUGCUUUCAUUCCCAAUUCCUCUGUUUGCUUUGGGUCAAUUGCAAGUUUUGAUUUUAAGUUUUGCAGCUUACCUGAUGCAAUACAUACACACCAAAUUAAAAGGACAGCAGUGUUGAAGUUUAAAACUAAAUGAAUAAAUAAAUAAGCCGCGUUGUGCUGGAAACAUGCUGAAAAGAAAUGUUUCAACACUGCUGGAACUCUUUGUUUUCCCGGUUUUCUUCCUGAAUGAAGUCCUGGCGAAAUCAGCUGGAUUUUGUGAUGUGUUUUGGCUCCGGCAGAGCAGGAUCCUAGCAGCGUUUCUUCCAAUGGCUUGAGAAGAGCAGGAGUGGAGGAGCUCCCCAUGCGGAGGGUUUUGUUCCAGGAGAAGAGUCCUUCUGGCCUAUGAAGAGGAGCGAUUCAACGUGCCUUCCGCUCGGGGGGUAGGAGGGGAAGGAGGGAGAGGGACGAGGACACUUCCUUCGCAGCGCUUUGUCAAGGCUUCUGGCCAAGAAUGUAAGUCUAAAUUCAAGUCGUCAAGCACUGUGCCAGAUCCUGAGAGUUUGGGAGUCCCUUUGUCCAGAAGCUUGCAAAAGUUAAAGUAGUUGCCAAAUGGGAUGUGUGGCAUCCAUGUAAUACAUCUGACGCAUGAAAAUGGGUUCCCGUUGAGCUUACUGUGGUGCCUGAGGCAAAAGUACUUCUGAUUCCCUGCAUGAUGCAGUAAUUACCGGGCUGCUGCUGCUUGCCUUAAACCCAGCUACGAUGGCAGCUCAGGACAACCGCCAGCCUUAGGUCAGGCUGAGGCAGAUGGCACGCACUCAGGGAGGGUAGGUGGGGCUGCCUUUGGUUCUGCUCUCUCUCUGGGAUGAGAGGACCUGAUAGCAUUUGCAUUUCUCCUUAGACUCAACCAUUACGUCUGAUGACAGAAAUGAACCUUUCCCCCUGGACACGAGCCAAGAAACUUUUUUUCUUUCUUUUUUUCUUUCUUUUUUUUCUCUCCUGUCUCUUUCAUAACCGUCAUUUUCGUCUAUCUCUGGAACAUAUCACAUACUACUGUCACACACUGUAGGUGUGCUCCCCUUUUCCUUCAGUUGCAUUUGGCUUCCCAUCUGCCAGGUGAGAGCCUCUCCUUGGCUGGCUGAUGCUUGCUUGCCACAGGUGACAGGGAGGACUGAAACCAUUGCUUCUGCCCCAUGGAGAGCGUCUGCAUCUCAAAGAGAGGGAAUUCUGCUCUGGAAACCCCAUGAGAUGUGUCAACAGGGUCGUAGCAAUUCCCGUAGGAUGAGGCUGCCUGUUUUCCCGUGCCUUGCUGGAAUGUUCAGCCAGUCGUGCUUGUGCAAACCCCUGGAGGGCUGUGAGGCUGAGCAGGUGUCAGCAAGGACAUAGCUGGGGUUGCAGAACUCCUAUUACAGGCUGUGCUGGCCAGAGAGGUAAUUUGUCUUGGUAGGAAUUGUCUUUGUCUUUCAUAGGGAUGCCGC